rnacentral:rRNA from 1 species
GUGGGGAAUAUUGCACAAUGGGCGCAAGCCUGAUGCAGCGACGCCGCGUGAGGGAUGGAGGCCUUCGGGUUGUAAACCUCUUUUAUCGGGGAGCAAGCGAGAGUGAGUUUACCCGUUGAAUAAGCACCGGCUAACUACGUGCCAGCAGCCGCGGUAAUACGUAGGGUGCAAGUGUUAUCCGGAAUUAUUGGGCGUAAAGGGCUCGUAGGCGGUUCGUCGCGUCCGGUGUGAAAGUCCAUCGCUUAACGGUGGAUCCGCGCCGGGUACGGGCGGGCUUGAGUGCGGUAGGGGAGACUGGAAUUCCCGGUGUAACGGUGGAAUGUGUAGAUAUCGGGAAGAACACCAAUGGCGAAGGCAGGUCUCUGGGCCGUUACUGACGCUGAGGAGCGAAAGCGUGGGGAGCGAACAGGAUUAGAUACCCGUGUAGUCC